GCAUGAUACGCUAGAGCCUGUUUCAGUUGAAAGUCAAAAUUGGGGUGGCUAGUCUAGGUAGUUCUUAGCCCUUCUUUGAAUUGAUCAUCUGCCACCAUAUACACUUUUACCGUAUUUCAGCUAGGCCAGUUGAGUGAAUGCCUGUCACUCUUUGGUAUCUCUCCCAUGGAUUUGUCUGGUUUUGGCAGCAAUGUUCUUUGUAUAUAUCUGUAC
rnacentral:lncRNA from 1 species